rnacentral:rRNA from 1 species
CUCCGCGGACGUAUCAGUAACACGUGGAUAACCUACCCUCAGGUGGGGGAUAACCCCGGGAAACUGGGGAUCAUACCCCAUAGACAUGGAAGACUGGAAUGCAUCUGUGCCUGAAAGGUCAGCCUGCCUGAUGAUGGGUCUGCGGCCGAUUAGGUUGUUGUUGGGGUAACGGCCCAACAAGCCUGUAAUCGGUACGGGUUGUGGGAGCAAGAGCCCGGAGAUGGAUUCUGAGACACAAAUCCAGGCCCUACGGGGCGCAGCAGGCGCGAAAACUUUACAAUGCGGGAAACCGUGAUAAGGGAACUCCGAGUGCCCGUAAAUUCGGGCUGUCAAUCUGUUUAAAUAACAGGUUAAGAAAGGGCCGGGCAAGACCGGUGCCAGCCGCCGCGGUAAUACCGGCGGCUCGAGUGGUGGCCACUAUUACUGGGCUUAAAGCGUCCGUAGCUGGUCUGUUAAGUCUCUGGGGAAAUCUACCGGCUUAACCGGUAGGCUCUCAGGGAUACUGGCAGACUAGGGACCGGGAGAGGUGAGAGGUACUCCAGGGGUAGGAGUGAAAUCCUGUAAUCCUUGGGGGACCACCUGUGGCGAAGGCGUCUCACCAGAACGGCUCCGACAGUGAGGGACGAAAGCUGGGGGAGCAAACCGGAUUAGAUACCCGGGUAGUCCCAGCUGUAAACGAUGCGCGUUAGGUGUAUCGGUGACCACGAGUCACCGAGGUGCCGAAGGGAAACCGUGAAACGUGCCGCCUGGGAAGUACGUCGCAAGGCUGAACUUAAAGGCCA